GAGGCCCCCGUGUUUGUCCCUUUUUUUCCGCCAGGCACUUCGCGGGUAACUGUUGUGUGACGGGGUAAACCGCUUAAAACAUUUAACCGUGAAGCCCCCCCAAAAUUGAGUUUUCCCCUUCCUUGGAAAUUGAGGGUCCUGGAACGUGAUCAGGUAGAUAGGUUUGGAGUGGAAGUGUAGCGAUACAUGGAGCGGACAAAUACUAAUCGAUCGAGGACUUAACCAA
rnacentral:rRNA from 1 species